AAUAUUUAAGGUGAUGAAGCCCACCUUAAUUGCCGUAAAGGCUGAUGGCUUCUACGAAGAU
rnacentral:ncRNA from 32 species